rnacentral:rRNA from 1 species
UACGGGGGGGGCAAGCGUUGUUCGGAAUUACUGGGCGUAAAGGGCUCGUAGGCGGCCAACUAAGUCAGACGUGAAAUCCCUCGGCUUAACCGGGGAACUGCGUCUGAUACUGGAUGGCUUGAGAUUGGGAGAGGGAUGCGGAAUUCCAGGUGUAGCGGUGAAAUGCGUAGAUAUCUGGAGGAACACCGGUGGCGAAGGCGGCAACCUGGACCAACACUGACACUGAGGAGCGAAAGCCAGGGGAGCAAACGGG